ACUGCACGUUAAAUGGACUGAGAGCACUGCUUCAGCCACACGGUUCUGCCGUGUUAUCAAAAUCUGAACAGAACUACCUUCUGUUAAAAUCUUACAACUAGUAGCACUGGAUCCCUUGGCACGUCAUUCGAUGAAGAACGUAGCAAUCUGCGAUAAGUGGUGUGAUAUGCAAGUCCACAGCUUAUACGUGAACCAUCGAAUCUUUGAACGCACUGCACUAUCCGGACGACACCCCCGUGAUAGUAUGCCCCAUUGAGCGUUAUUUGCUUAUUCAGACAUCAGUGUGUUCACUCACUCUGAUGGAUGAGUUCGAGGUUCACAUCUGAUAGAUGCGUUCCUUAAGAUUCAUUAGCAACUGAGGUCAACCCAGUCCACAUCCUGUGAUGAUUUUGCAGGUCAAGGUUGAGGUUUGAUUGGUGCUCAUAAAUGCCUUUGGCAAACUGGCCUUGGUGCCCACACUUCGUAUAUAACCUCAGUGGGGUAGGAUUACCCGCUAGACUUAAGCAUAUUAAUCAGCGGAGGAAAAGAAACUAACAAGGAUUCCCCCAGUAACUGC
rnacentral:rRNA from 1 species